AGGAGGUCAAGGUUAGAUCUACAUUUCUUUCUAGUGGAUUGGCCUUAAUUAACCAUAAUUAGACUGUACUAAUUGAGAUUUGAUAGGUCAAAAAAAGUCAAAAAAGUGCGCUUGGCCUGUCUCUAUCUAUCUUCAGGAUGGUGAAUCUUUUCUUUUCUCAUUUAUAUUUAUAUAUUUGUUUUGUGGGUGACGUUAAUUAAUUAGAAU
rnacentral:misc_RNA from 1 species